CUCCUUCUCAAGUAGUGUUCUUGUUUAUAUGACUAAUCAAAUCUUCUGCAUUUAAAAUUAACUUUUCAAUUAUUAUUAUUCUCAUUUUUAAAGUAUGAAUUGUGCAGUAAUGUAAUACUAAUUAUGAUCGAUGACCAAACCUUUUGUGAAUUGGGCUAACAAAGGACAUUGUGAGUUGUGGACAUCAUGUUACACAUGCUGUGUAGAGAGAGGAUGGGAAACCCUG